UACAGAGGGUGCAAGCGUUAAUCGGAAUUACUGGGCGUAAAGCGCGCGUAGGUGGUUUGUUAAGUUGGAUGUGAAAUCCCCGGCUCAACCUGGGAACUGCAUCCAAAACUGGCAAGCUAGAGUAUGGUAGAGGGUGGUGGAAUUCCUGUGUAGCGGUGAAAUGCGUAGAUAUAGGAAGGAACACCAGUGGCGAAGGCGACCACCUGGACUGAUACUGACACUGAGGUGCGAAAGCGUGGGAGCAAACAGG
rnacentral:rRNA from 1 species